rnacentral:rRNA from 1 species
AUGAGCGUAUAUAACUUGGGUUGUGUUAUAAAUGCUCUAGCUAAACCUAUUGAUGGGAGAGGCAAAAUUGUAGCUUCCGAAUCUCGCCUAAUUGAAUCUCCUGCUCCAAGUAGAAUUUUCAGGCGUUCCGUAUACGAACCUCUUCAAACAGGGCUUAUUGCUAUCGAUUCGAUGAUCCCUAUAGGACGCGGUCAGCGAGAGUUCAUUAUUGGGGACAGACAGACUGGCAAAACAGCAGUAGCCAUAGAUACAAUUCUCAAUCAAAAAGGGCAAGGUGUAAUAUGUGUUUAUGUAGCUAUCGGUCAAAGAGCAUCCUCCGUAGCUCAAGUAGUAACUACUUUCCAUGAGGAGGGGGCCAUGGAAUACACUAUUGUAGUAGUUGAAAUGGCGGAUUCACCUGCUACAAUACAAUACCUCGCUCCUUAUACGGGAGCAGCCUUGGCUGAGUAUUUUAUGUACCGCGAACGGCAUACUUUAAUAAUUAUGAUGAUCUCUCCAAACAGGCACAAGCUUAUUGCCAAAUGUCCCUUCUAUUAA